GAUUUUGGAAGUUUUGGUCCCAACAGUUUAGGAAUUAGUUGCCAAAAAGGGCAAAAAUAAGCAUUUUCUUGGUUUUUGCACUAUAACUUUAGUUUAAGUAAAUAGAAAUCUAUGAAAUUUUGACACAAGAUUUAUGUCCACAAAAUGAAGGUUGGGAUUGAUUUUGGGAGUUUUUUUAAAGGGGCCCAAAUAAGCAUUUUUCUUGGUUUUCGCACCGGAACUUUAGUAUAAGUGAAUAGAAAUCUAUGAAAUUUAAACACAAUGUUUACGAC
rnacentral:lncRNA from 1 species